rnacentral:rRNA from 1 species
UGGGGAAUUUUGGACAAUGGGCGAAANCCUGAUCCAGCAAUGCCGCGUGUGUGAAGAAGGCCUUCGGGUUGUAAAGCACUUUUGUCCGGAAAGAAAUCCUUGGCUCUAAUACAGUCGGGGGAUGACGGUACCGGAAGAAUAAGCACCGGCUAACUACGUGCCAGCAGCCGCGGUAAUACGUAGGGUGCAAGCGUUAAUCGGAAUUACUGGGCGUAAAGCGUGCNCAGGCGGUUUGCUAAGACCGAUGUGAAAUCCCCGGGCUCAACCUGGGAACUGCAUUGGUGACUGGCAGGCUAGAGUAUGGCAGAGGGGGGUAGAAUUCCACGUGUAGCAGUGAAAUGCGUAGAGAUGUGGAGGAAUACCGAUGGCGAAGGCAGCCCCCUGGGCCAAUACUGACGCUCAUGCACGAAAAGCGUGGGGAGCAAACAGGAUUAGAUACCCUGGUAGUCCACGCCCUAAACGAUGUCAACUAGUUGUGGG